CCUACGGGAGGCAGCAGUGGGGAAUUUUGGACAAUGGGCGCAAGCCUGAUCCAGCAAUGCCGCGUGAGUGAAGAAGGCCUUCGGGUUGUAAAGCUCUUUUGUCAGGGAAGAAACGGCUGAGGAUAAUACCUUUGGCUAAUGACGGUACCUGAAGAAUAAGCACCGGCUAACUACGUGCCAGCAGCCGCGGUAAUACGUAGGGUGCAAGCGUUAAUCGGAAUUACUGGGCGUAAAGCGUGCGCAGGCGGUUUUGUAAGUCUGACGUGAAAUCCCCGGGCUCAACCUGGGAAUUGCGUUGGAGACUGCAAGGCUGGAGUCUGGCAGAGGGGGGUAGAAUUCCACGUGUAGCAGUGAAAUGCGUAGAGAUGUGGAGGAACACCGAUGGCGAAGGCAGCCCCCUGGGUCAAGACUGACGCUCAUGCACGAAAGCGUGGGGAGCAAACUAGGAUUAGAUACCCUGGUAGUCCACGCCCUAAACGAUGUCUACUAGUUGUCGGGUCUUAAUUGACUUGGUAACGCAGCUAACGCGUGAAGUAGACCGCCUGGGGAGUACGGUCGCAAGNUUAAAACUCAAAGGAAUUGACGG
rnacentral:rRNA from 1 species